rnacentral:lncRNA from 1 species
CCAGCUGCUAGGUCAGGCAGCUCGAAACAUGGUACUACAGGAAGAUGCCAUCUUGCACUCAGAAGAUGUAAGAAACACUUCCUUUUAUGAUUUGGGUUUUAUAUACAUAAUUUGUGUGGCUACAGGAAAUGGAAUGUAUAUAUUUCUCUUUUUGUGUGUGUUGUUGUUUUUUAAUGCAGAGUUUAAGGAAAAUGGCAAUAAUAACAACACAUCUCCAAUACCAGUGAGUAUGCCCUCUCCAGUGACUACUUGCUACAAAAUCAUUAUCCUCAGGCUGCCCCCUGUGGCCUUUGUUCUUCAGCACAUUUUCCUGUGAAGGCAGGAGUAAAAGUGGGCUUAGUCAAGGAUGAGCUCCUUCUGGAAAAGAUGGCUGAGACUGCAGAAGAGGUUGGGGUGUGAGGUGAGAUCAAGAACAGGAACUACCUCUGGUGAGCCUCUCUGUAUCUCUUUGAGGGCUCCUCAGAGGGAGAGACUGUAAGCCCCCUGAGGGCAGGGCCCACACCAGGACCACGUUAGCACGGUGCCUGGCACCCAAUGGACACCGAGUCGGUAUUUGUUGACUACCUGUGCCCAAGGUCUCUCCUGGGGAGUCUGCUCUUGCACUAGGGGAUCAAGUGUAACUCUGACCUGUAUCCCAUAGCCUCACGUAUGACCCAGCCCUGGCUACGUAUAAAUGAUCCCGGAGACUUUGAAAUGUAGAGAACCCCUUCUCUGUUGUAAUUUUGGACAAAAUUAUAGUUAGCUUUUCGUCAUAUUUAAUUUUGCUUUAUAUUUUAUAUAGUUGAUAUUAUACUUAUGUACCUGCUGUAUGGUUAAGAGUUUAACUCUUGAUAUUUAGACAGCUAAAUGUUCGUUCUUGGGGUGUGCGCAUAUCAGGUGUGUGACCACUAGGUUGCACAUUGUGGACUGAACGUGAGCCAUGCACGUGUAUGGUUUUUGCACCAUCUCCCUUGAUCUGAUAGGGUAUCGUUACCUGUUUAGGUUUAGAAUCCUUCUUUUUAGCAACCCUGCACUCAGAUGUUGAACAGAGCUUCAAGAACACAGUCUUAGGCUAGAAUGAAGAGAAAUCCAGAAUGUGACAGAAGCUGGAGAUUUAUUCUGCCUGUGUAUUUCUAGCCAGAAGUUGCACUAGUCUUCUGAGAUUUUUUAUGUUUAUUUUCCUCUUUCCUUUUCUGAUUUAGGCAAGAAGCUAUUCAGAAGAAGUAAGUAACCCCAAAGGUAGGGGACUUGGGAGCAGGGAGCAGCAACUAAAGCAGGCUGCAGGGAAUUCUACUUGCGGGCUGAGGAUCAUUGUGAAACUCUGGUUGACAUAUGCCCUUAAAUUGACAUAUGCUCUGGGAUAGCUUAUUCGGGGUAUAAAGAAGACAGUACAGUUGACCUUUGAACAAUAUAGGUUUGAAUUACACAGUUCCACUUACACACAGAUUUUUUUUUUUUUUAAAUUUUUUUUUUUUUCAACGUUUAUUUAUUUUUGGGACAGAGAGAGACAGAGCAGGAACGGGGGAGGGGCAGAGAGAGAGGGAGACACAGAAUCGGAAACAGGCUCCAGGCUCUGAGCCAUCAGCCCAGAGCCUGACGCGGGGCUCGAACUCACGGACCAUGAGAUCGUGACCUGGCUGAAGUCGGACGCUUAACCGACUGCGCCACCCAGGCGCCCCCAGAUUUUUUUUUUAUAAAUACAAUAUAGUAUUGUAAAUGUAUUUUCUCUUAUGAUUUUCUUUUUUUUUUUAAAUAUUAUUUUUAUUUUGUGUGUGAGAGAGAGAGACCAAGUGUGCCAGCGGGGGGAAGAGCAGAGGGAGAGGGAGGGAGAGAAUCUUAAGCAGGCUCUCCAUGAACACAGAGCCUGACUCAGGGCUCGAUCUCUGUCAUGAGAUCAUGACCUGAGCUGAAACCAAGAGUCAGAUGCUUAACCGACUGAGCCACCCAGGUGCCCUGUCUUCCUUAUGAUUUCCUUCCUUCCUUCCUUCCUUCCUUCCUUCCUUCCUUCCUUCCUUCUCUCUUUUCUUUCUCUUUCUUAUUCUUCCUUCCUCUUCCUUCCGUCCUUUCUUCCUUCCUUCCCUUCUUUCAUUCAUUCAUUCAUUCAUUCAUUCAUUCAUUUAUUUUUGAGGGAGAGGCAGAGAGAGAGAAAAGAGAGAAUCCCAAGCAGGCUCUGCACUGUCAGCUCAGAACUCACGAGAUGUGAGAUCAUGACCUGAGCUGAAAUCAAGAGUCGGAUGCUUAACUAACUGAGCCACCUACACAUCCCCUUAUGAUUGUCUUAGUAACAUUUUUUCUCUAGCUUACUUUAUUAUAACAGUGUAGUAUAUAAUACAUAUACAACAUAUGUGUUAAUUGACUGUUUCUGUUACCAGUACGGCUUCUGGUCCACAAUAGGCUAUUAGUAGUUAAGUUUUGGGGGAGUCGGGUUAUAUACUGAUUUUGACUGUGCAGGAUAUCAGCGCCUAUAUAUCCCCUAUGUUGUUCAAGGGUCGACUGUAUAUUUCAAAGGUAUACAGUAGGUCAAUUCACUGAUAGUAAAGGCUUUCUAAAAAUUACAACGUGUAGAAGCCACCCUUAAUGAAUAGAAAACCUUCUACAUUGAUAAUAUUCAUUAAGUAAAUUAAAUGUGCUGAAGUCAGUAAACAGUCUUGUUUUUUUGAGUGGAUUAAAUCUGUCCCUUAUAACAUUGGUUAUCUCUAACUGGUUUUACAAACCCUUUUUUUUUUUCUUUUCUUUUCUUUUCUUUUUUUUUUUUACAAACCUUUUUUUCAUAGUUUAAACUUCUGGGACCCUAGAGGACCAAUAUAAAUUUUGAUUUAGCUUCGGGAGUACUUCUGUGUUAAAGUACAAACUGAACAAAGAGAGGUCUUUAUUGCUCAUUCCAGAUAAACCUUUUUCUCUUUUCUAAUUUCUAGUGUUGAGCAGUCUUCUGAUCUACAGGACCAGCUGAAUCAUCUGCUGAAAUAGUGCAGCUUGUAAGAGGGCAAAAGCACUUCUGUGCCGACACUGAGAAGGAAAUCUUUUACUUAACCACUGUGCUAUGGGUUUGACUUUCCAUUUUCUUCUCCAAAAGUUAAGUUAGAACAGAUUUGUGAUGGUGUAUAAUUCCUCCUGAAAGAAGCUAGGUGGUUGAAUUUUGGAAGUACUUCUUGAAGCAGAGUAACCCAUGGUCUUACUGAAUUUUUUAAUUGCUCUGUUUAGUUUGAUGUUAAAGGAAAAUUAAAAGAGGUCUUAGUUUUUCCCCUAGAACUUUUAUAUGUCAAAAGCCAUAUCAACUAAAUAUGAUCCUUAAGCAAAUACUGAAUAAUGUUUUAAAUUCAGAAUUAGGGAUUCUAUUGUGAAAACAUAGGACUAAUUAAUAUUCUUUUUUAAAGACUUUUUUUCUUUUAAUCAUACAUUCAGAAAUGGUAA